CACGUUGAUGCCACGUUGAGCACAGAACACUCUCCACCGCACAUCUGUAGAAGGAAAUGAGGACUGAGCUCUCAUGUCCCGCACAUAUCAUCCGCCUCAGGAAGUAGAGCCUCUGGUGAGCCUUCCUGAUCAGGCUGGAAGUGUUUUUCCAGAGAUUGUUUUUCCUGCACCAGUCCUCCAAGUGUUCCACUUCCUUCCUGUAGCCGGUCUCAUCAUUGUUUGUGAUGCAUCCAACCACAGCUGUGUCAUCCCCAAACUUCACAAAUGACAGCCUGGAUGGUUGGGUGAGCAGUCAUGUAAGCAGCAUGAACAGGAGGGGACUUAGCACACAGCCCUGAGGGGAGCCAGUGCUGAGGACUAUGGAAGAUGAGGAGACGUUGUGGAUCCUCACAGACUGCGGUCUGUUGGUCAGGAAGUCCAGGACGCAGUUACAAAGAGAGGAGCUCAGUCAAAGGAAGCAGAUGCACUCUCUAAGGAGAUGCUGUUUUGGGUAUAACAGGAGGAGAGAAGCUGCAGAGAGGUGUGCAAAACUGCAACGCUGCUUCCUGGUCCCGACUCUGGAUACUCUGGAUUUUAGAGGGUUUAUUAAAUUUGGCCAGAUUUCUACAAUGAGAGCUGUUCCACACAAAGUCAAGGGAUGACUUUACUCCUAACAAGACCAAUUUUGCCCCACAAAGUUUCCCACUAUUUAUAAAGCCCAAAUCAUUUUUUGGAAACCAUUCAAACAGUCAGCAUUUUAAGGAGAUUAUGCCGCUAAUCAUGACAUUCCUGGUCUGAUUAGCGAGAGAACCAGAGAAGACUACAGAAUUUUGGCAAAGUUACACACCAAUUCAAUAUUAAUUUUAGUGACCUCCGGUUCAUGUAACCGAGUAUCAUUACUGCUGACGUGAAUUACUGUUUGGCAGAAUUUAUGCUUGUCUUUAGCCAGCAGCUUCAGCAGUGCUUCAGUAUAACUUGGCCUCUGCAAGACGUUACACCAUAGUUGUUGAGAUAUCUCGCUUUCUAGCUGAAUGAAUACUGUGAAUAUAAUUAGCGGAUAAUUCAACAGAGAGUGUGCUUUUGAUAAAGCACACGAAGAUUACAAUAUGAAAUAAGACAUUUUCCAAAAGCUUUUAAUGAAAUGGGCUAUACAAAAAAGCUACACAAACACACCACUGUGUAUUGUAACAGAAACAGGAAGUGAUACUGUACCACAAAGAGUGCCAACACCAAGUGAAAGCAUUCAUAUAGAAAUGUGAAAAUGUUUUUUGUUUCAAAUCGGAUUUCUCACACUGCAAACACAUUUGUGGCACAUUCUUUUGCAAUAUGCAUAGUGUGGACUGUGCACUAGCCACGUUUAUAGAAUCAGCUGUUAGAUGUUUUCACUCAUCUAUGACACACUUAUAUGAGCUUAACCACCAUAAAAUAAAAUAGUACAACUUUU